CAUUCUUCCCCAUCCCAAUACCCCCUACCCAUUUAAAUCAUACCCGACCUAGCCCAUUGCCCCUCAUACCUUUAAUCCCCCUAACCCUUCACUUUUUUUCCAUUGUUGAAAUAUAACCUGACAUCAACAUAAAAAAUAUUGGUUUCCUGGUUUUGCUUUCUGCCAGCAGCAUACUCUACUAGACCACCGGAUAAUGGAAAAUCCGAUGGUCUUCAGCCUUCUCCUUCACUUUUCCAUCUGUCUUGCAAUUAUCCCUCAACUUUAUAUCAUUUCAAUACUUUUUAGCUUAAAUCAGACCCUAAAGAGAUUUCUACCGCCCUGCUAACCUUGUAAAGUUGAAAAGUAUGAAAGAUAGCAGGAUUUAGGAUUGUUACUCCCCUUAAUUCUAUUGGUCUGAAAGUGAAUGCCUUCAAAAGGCCCUUUUCUCCCAUCUACAUCAAUCUAAAAAUUCAGGCUUUCUCUUUAUCUAAUUUGAUUUCUUUGUGUUUCUGUGAGAUUUGAGCUUUCAAAGAAUUCAAAAUUUGAAUUCUUGAAGCCUCUAUUGAGAGCUCUUGCAACCGCCCUUUAAUUUUUGGCUGUAAAAGGAGCCCUUGGCUCCUAUUUUGUUUCUAAGAAAAAAGCAAGAAGAAAGAAUCACCAGGAAUUAUAAAAAAUUAGCACCAAGUAUUAGUUCAUAUUACUAUUUCCACUUUAUUCACUUGCUCUCUGUCUAAAAUACGAGUUCGAGUUCGAGUUGUAGAGGUUGCAAUCUAAUCGAAAUUUGAUGUUGGAGCCCCUAGUUUGCUGCAUAAUAUUCGUGAUAAGGUCACUCAUGUUCAGCUCGGGUUUAAGUCAGUUUGAAGUCUACUUUAGCAUUUGUAUUCAGACGUUCUCAGGCCUCUAAUCACCUCUUUUUCUAACUGGUAUGUUUCUUUAAUAUACGUAGCCUAAAUAUGAUUUGAGUUAACAUUUUUCACCGUUUUAGUCCUUGAAACAUAGGGAUGUAAUGCCCCGAAAUCUUAUUCCAGAACGUCACACGGUGCUUAAGGCUACAAGUAGCCCCAAGCUACCCCUUUGAGCCUGUUACUACUUCUACCACUUACUUUAGGAUGAAUAACCAAACAAUAAAUGUUAAAUUUUAUCAAAACAGAACUGAAAUCAUUGAAAACAAAUGUCUGUAUAUCAAAUACUGGAAAUCUGGAACAAAACUUUAACUGACAGUCUGACAAGCCUCUACUUACUAAGAACUAGAGAGUCAUUGGGACAAACCCCCAACUGACUCAACUGGACUGAAAA